GCCUGCAAUCGAAUCGAGAAGCUCGAAUCGCCGCCGAACCUUCUCGAUUCGUCCCCCACGACGACGCCUCUCUCGCCCUAGCAAUGGAGGGGGCGGCGAUGGGGGGAACGAACUACGUGCCGCCGAUACGGCUUGGCUCCGUCCGCGUCGCCAUGCCGCCACAGCGGUGGUCCUCCUGAUCGGUGUCCCUCCUCCGCUCCUCGAGGGGUCGAAGCUUACCGGGGCGCCGUGUGGAAGGCGGCGGCCUGUCCGCCGAGGGAUGCCUCCCCGCGGGGCUGGGGGAAGACGGAGGCGACGCGCCUAUGCCUUCUCCGCUUCUCUCCCCAUUCUCAGGCGCUUUAGCGAUGGAGCGAGGAGCCGGCAGUUGGGGAGAGGACUCCGCGGCGGCCGAUUCCGCUUCUCCGAGCCGCUUCGCCCGCUAACCCUAUCGGGGGAAGGCGGCGGCCUCUCCGCCGGCUGACGACGCCUUUCGGGGAGUCUAGGCGCAACUGGUGGAGCACUGCGGCGACGUGAGAUGCCUUCCGCUGCCUUACCGUGACCGCGGCGCUCCGUGGGAAAUAUGAAGAGAUAUGUGCUCCGCGGGUUGAAGAAUUCUGUUUCAUAACCAACAAUACAUAUACAAAGGCAGAUGUGUUUGUCAUGUGAACUUGAGAAAAAUAAUUGCAUAUAUGGAAGGAGCCACUGAAUAAAUAGCUGAUAACCUCCUGAUCCAGUAGGUAUUGAAAAUGGAGGGCCAAGUGCUGAAUGACCUGGGAUUUCAUCUUUCUGUUCCAACAACAAAAACAUUUCUCAGGAGAUUCCUUAGAGCGGCACAGGCAUCACGUAAAACUACUACUAUCAGUUUGGGAUUUCUGGCCAAUUAUCUUGCGGAGUUGACCUUGUUUGAUUAUGGAUUCUUGAAAUUUCUUCCUUCAGUGGUAGCAGCAUCAGCUCUUUUUCUUGCUAGAUGGAUGCUUGACCAAUCUGACCUCCCAUGGAAUCAAACUCUUGAUAUUCAAUUAUGUGUCUCUGCUCUAUGGGAACUGCAGCAUAACACCAGUAACUGCCCUCUUAAUGCCGUCCUUGAAAAGUAUACACAUCAAAAAGUAUGCGGCCACAUCAUGCCAUUUGAAUUCCUAGCACACCUCAUUAUGAGGUCUUCUUCAGUUUUACUUGAUAAUGGCAAGUAAAACCGAAGCUGCACUUGUUUCUGGAGCAGGAUUGCAGAACUCAUAUAUAAUCGAUUUCCUUUCUAACCUAACCUGGUAGUUCUGUUGCAGUUUGAGUGCGAAGCAAACCUGACUUCGCCAGAGCUUCACCAGUAGCUCUUCAGCUGACACGCCAAUGAUAUCAAUUACCUGUUGAUCAGCAACAUUAGCAGCAGUUGUAGCUUCUAGAAAUCCUGUAAUCCUUUAAGCAGUCGUAGCUUCUAAAAAUGUUUGUCUUAGAACAUAUGCUAUUACAUGGGGUGUAUGGCUGUAUAAUAAUGUGCUCUCAAUACUUUGUGCAUCGCAGAGCCUUUUGAUUUGCUGAACAUGGAAUCCAUCACUGAAAGUUACUAGAAGAUAUUAGAUAUGAGAUGUUAGCUUGGUUAUUAGCUGCAUAUAAAUAGGUCCUAUAUCAUCAUAUGGUACGUACACUCUGAAAGGAAGCCAAGCUUAAAGAAUUACACAGAGCAUUGGAUCCAGGCACGACGGUGGGUUCAUCGCUGUGGCCAGAGCAGGUCAGGAGAAUGACGCCAAGUAUGCUGCAAUCUGAAGAUGGCGUGUUCCCGAACGUUGGCUGAAUACUAUGCAACAGUAGACCUCAAUCGCACCGCAUUGACGCCUAAUUUGCCUAUAUUAGAGCAGACUAUUUUUUUUGGGUACGGCUAGUUUGUUAAGUCAUGUAACUAUGUCAAUGACAAUAAAGAAACGGAUAUAUAUCUCAAGGUCUGAAACGGCCCAGGUUAAACAGA